CGUCAGGGCAGUCUUUUUGUUUGUUUACUUUAUAAAAGUGCUGCACUUACCGUCUCGAUUUUCUUCUUGGGUAUCUUCCCUUUCCGAAUGUAGUUUUCUUUUUAAAAGCGGAAGGAGAGUUUUACAUGGAAGUGGCUUACAGAAACUUGGCGCUGAGGUGCAGGGAAGCCAGAAACUCUUUGUGUCUCUAAGGCCGAUGAGGAAUUUGGAAACACAUGUGGGACAUACAAGCGUUGGAUAUAGAGGAACAGAGAAGAAAAAGACCUAGGAUCUCAUGACUGAACUUGAAUUCUUAAAAGGACUGAGCAGGGGGAGGAACAUUUAAGCUGAUGGAAGUGGAAGUGGAAGUUGCUGUACAUUGGCAGCAAGGCCUCCGAGUUAGCUUUUGAAUGCAGUUAACUGGUUUCUCUUAACUGUGGAAUUCAUUGAAAAGUCAGACUCCGAGUGGUCGUUCCAGGAUAUCUUGAAAAGCCCAGGUAACAGUGGUGAUGAUGUCCAGCAACUCUGUGAAGCAGGAGAAGAGGAGUUUUUGGAAAUCAUGGCACUCGUGGGCAUGGCUAGCAAGCCCCUUCAUGUUAGAAGGCUGCAGAAGGCUUUGAGAGACUGGGUCACAAACCCUGGGCUUUUCAAUCAGCCACUGACUUCCCUUCCUGUCAGUAGCAUACCCAUCUAUAAAUUACCAGAGGGAUCACCAACAUGGCUGGGAAUAUCCUGCAGUAGUUAUGAAAGGAGUAGCAAUGCCCGGGAACCUCAUUUAAAAAUCCCCAAAUGUGCUGCCACCACCUGUGUGC
rnacentral:lncRNA from 1 species